rnacentral:rRNA from 1 species
AUUGAACGCUGGCGGCAGGCCUAACACAUGCAAGUCGAACGAGUGGCGGACGGGUGAGUAAUGUCUGGGAAACUGACCGAUGGAGGGGGAUAACUACUGGAAACGGUAGCUAAUACCGCAUACCAUCGGAUGUGCCCAGGUGGGAUUAGCUAGUAGGUGGGGUAACGGCUCACCUAGGCGACGAUCCCUAGCUGGUCUGCGAGGAGGACCGGCCACACGGGAACGGAGACACGGUCCAGACUCCUACGGGAGCAGGCGGUGGGAAAGUUUGGCCACUGGGCGCAAGCCGGAUGCAGCCAUGCCGAGUGUAUGAAGAAGGCGUUCGGGUGGUAAGGUACUUUCAGCGGGGAGGCGUUACUCGCAGAAGAAGCACCGGCUAACUCCGUGCCAGCCGCCGCGGUAAUAC